UGUGCCCGCAGGGAUUCGAACCCUGACUUCAGGCUUCGGAGGCCUGCGUGAUCUCCCUUUCACAACGGGCAC
rnacentral:tRNA from 1 species